rnacentral:rRNA from 1 species
UACCAGCACCCCGAGUGGUCGGGACGUUUUAUUGGGCCUAAAGCAUCCGUAGCCGGUUCUACAAGUCUUCCGUUAAAUCCAACUGCUUAACAGGUGGGCUGCGGAAGAUACUAUAGAGCUAGGAGGCGGGAGAGGCAAGCGGUACUCGAUGGGUAGGGGUAAAAUCCGUUGAUCCAUUGAAGACCACCAGUGGCGAAGGCGGCUUGCCAGAACGCGCUCGACGGUGGAGGGAUGAAAGCUGGGGGAGCAAACCGG